rnacentral:rRNA from 1 species
AUUGAACGCUGGCGGCAUGCUUUACACAUGCAAGUCGAACGGUAACAGGCCGCAAGGUGCUGACGAGUGGCGAACGGGUGAGUAAUGCAUCGGAACGUGCCCAGUCGUGGGGGAUAACGCAGCGAAAGCUGCGCUAAUACCGCAUACGAUCUAUGGAUGAAAGCGGGGGACCGUAAGGCCUCGCGCGAUUGGAGCGGCCGAUGUCAGAUUAGGUAGUUGGUGGGGUAAAGGCGCACCAAGCCAACGAUCUGUAGCUGGUCUGAGAGGACGACCAGCCACACUAGGACUGAGACACGGCCCAGACUCCUACGGGAGGCAGCAGUGGGGAAUUUUGGACAAUGGGGGCAACCCUGAUCCAGCAAUGCCGCGUGCAGGAAGAAGGCCUUCGGGUUGUAAACUGCUUUUAUACAGGAAGAAACGACUCUUGCGAGAGGCAUUGACGGUACUGUAUGAAUAAGCACCGGCUAACUCCGUGCCAGCAGCCGCAGUAACAC